rnacentral:rRNA from 1 species
GACGAACGCUGGCGGCGUGCCUAAUACAUGCAAGUUGAGCGACGAAGAUUGGUGCUUGCACCAAUUUGAAGAGCAGCGAACGGGUGAGUAACGCGUGGGGAAUCUGCCUUUGAGCGGGGGACAACAUUUGGAAACGAAUGCUAAUACCGCAUAACAACUUUAAACAUAAGUUUAAAGUUUGAAAGAUGCAAUUGCAUCACUCAAAGAUGAUCCCGCGUUGUAUUAGCUAGUUGGUGGGGUGAAGGCUCACCAAGGCGAUGAUACAUAGCCUACCUGAGAGGGUGAUCGACCACAAUGGGACCGAGACACGGCCCAAACCCCUACGGGGGGCAGCAGUAGGGAAACUUCGGCCAUGGACGUAAGUCUGAACGAGCGACGCCGCGGGAGUGAAGAAGGUUUUCGGAUCGUAAAACUCCGUUGGUAGAGAAGGACGUUGGUGAGGGUUGAAAGCUCAUCAAGUGACGGUAACUACCCAGUAAGGGACGGCUAACUACGUG